AACCAGCUCUGUGAACUGCUCUCCAAUGAGAGAGGUGUAACUGCAGCCUACCAUGUACAAACCAAUGGUCUGGAUGAGAAAACCAAAGACAACAUCAAACAAGCACUUGGAAAGCUUGUGAAUAUGAAGCAGGAUGAUUGGGACAUAUACCUUGAUGCAACACUUUUUUCACUCCGCUGAAAAGUACACACCACCGCUAAAUUCUCUCCAUUUUUCUUGAUGUAUGGGAGAAAAGCAAGAUUCCCUUCAGAAGUGCCUGUUGAAAUGCUGCUGUCUUCAAUAACACUCCCUGAAGACUGCAGUGCAUUCAUUGAGAAAAAACGGGAAGCUCAACAUGGCACAAGAAAAAAGGUUGAGGAAAAUACCACGCAUUCACAACAAAAAAUGGCAGAAGUAUUUUAAAAAAGG